AGGAUCCCGCUAGCGGUUUACGGGACCUUGGUCCUGAGGAAACACCGUCCUCCCUGUGGCAUUGGGGCCUCUUUAGAGGCAGGGGGAGAUCCCCUGGCAACGGCACAGAAACGAGACGAACUCCGGUCAGAUGAUUAUGAUACCUAAAAUUCUGACCGGUAACGGUCAGAAAAGGUUGAAGAUACCGGAGUUACGAUGAAACGGCCGACCCCCAAGGAGCAAGAUCUUGCCCAGAUGAGAAGCCGCAUGAUGGGCAAGAGGAUCGCUUAGCUGAAUACCGCUGAAACUACAGAAGACGGGUUAUAGCGGGAUCCU
rfam:Fervidicoccus fontis Kam940, complete genome.